UCAACAAGGUUGGUUACCAAACCAAACUAAUUCAACAAGGUUGGCUACUUAACCAAACCAAGUCAACAAGGUUGAUUAUCAAACCAAAGAAACUUUUAUUAAGCACAUGACUAAUACUUGUUGAAUGAGAUGGACAUCGUCAAAUCAUGAAAUGAUGGGAAACAAGAUAUAUAACAUCUAGAAAAGGCUGUGAUGAUUCCUAACUUCUCCAACUUCUUUUUGUCCUCUUAUUAGCGGCUAUGAUGAUUAUGUCUAGAGUUGGGUCGGCGUUGGAGUGGCCCGUAUCUUGGCGGGGCGACCCGGAAUUCAUCUAUUUGAUGCAACUGAUCCCUGCAGCCAUGGCGAUCCUUGUCUCCGUUGCCUGAUUUUUUUUAUCAUCCGAGCCUCUCGGAAAACUGCUUUAUUACCCUCUGAAUUAGAUUAGCCCAGAAAUGGCGAGAAUGAGGCGACAGAGAGCGAGUAUGGGAUUUUUUUUCAAGGGUGGUUGUCCCUCUCUGCUGUGUCUAUGAUUCUCCUUUUUUGUAACAAACCAACAGCCCUUAAAAAAGGAAAGAGAGAAAGAUAGAUGAUAACGCUUCAGUUUCUGGAUUUGUUUGUAGUUUGCAUAUUAUUCAAAGACCCAAUACACACACAAUUAUACUACAACAACUCCGGGACCUUCAGAUCUUAAUGAGGCAGUGAUGAUGAUUUUUUUUCUAUAUCUGGGGGAACAAAUUCGGGCAUGGAGAUUAUCCGACCCGUAUCUUGGCAUGACAACCGGUAUGGUCUGUGAUUGAGACUCUUCUCACUCACAUGCAACUGGUUUUUUGCAGCCAUGGCGUGGUUGGCUCCUCUUUUGCCUUUGUCAUAAACACAUAUCUGAGCCUCAAUUUGGUAAAGAAAAUAUCAAUCUUUUAGAUUUUAUUGAUGUGGGAUAUAUCGAAACCACGCUGUUUUAAGUUCUAAUGCUUUUUUGAGCUGUGAAGUAUAGCCAUUGUUUUCUAUCAGUAGCAGCUCAAGAAUGAGGCAUUAGAGUGAAAUGUGGGAUUUUUUUGUAACGGUGGUUGCCCUCGUUCUCUGGUGCUUUUGCAUUAUUUCUACACCAUAAACAGAAACUGGAUUCUCAACUCAAGAACAAGAAUGGGGCUGCAUAUGGAUGGAAAGUUUUUAAGGGUGUUGCCUUCCAUCUGCAUGCCCGUGAUAUCUCUGUAUUCUGCCACUGCCAAAGCAAAAGCCCUUCUAUCAUGCUUAGCUGGCGCUCUAAUGGUUGUGAUGAUAAAGCAGCUUGAUUUCAUUGUAUUUGGGUCUACUGGACCUGUAUCUUGGCAGUGCAAACCAGGAUGACUUAAGCAGAGUCUUAUUUCUCUAGCAAGCAUUCUUGUUUGCAGCCAUGGCGGUGUCCCUUUACCUGAUCUUAUGACAGAUCUGAGCCUACGUAUAUACUCAUGAGUUUCACUUCAUAGAUAGAUAUCUAAAAAUAGAUGGAAAUAACUUUUAGAUAUGCCUGGAGAAAGAGAAGGACAAUGGUGAAAAAAGUGAAAACUACUUUCCCUUGUGAUGAAAAAGGAAGGUUAGAUACUUAAAGGCAGACUUACACGGGCCUUUAAAAGUUCUCUUCUUGAACUAGCUCAGAAAUUGCAAGGAUGAGGCAAGAGAGAGUAUGAGAUUUCUUUCGAGGGUGGUUGCCCCUCUUUCAAUAUCUGGUUUUCUGGAUGACCAUUUGGGAAAUUUCCCCAAUAUACAAGUAUACCACAACAACUACCUUCAGAUCUUCAGUCUGUCCUCAUGGCCCUUUGUGGUUUCUUCCAGUUUACUCUCAUCGUCUCAUUAUUAAUGGGAACUGGAAAGUGUUACAUUAUGAUGCAUUCUACUACAGAAAGGGGCUGUGAUGAUGCUUAUAAAUCUUUCUAUUUCUGGGCUGAUCAUUGAGUCAUUGAGAUGACCGGACUUGUAUCUUGGCAUGGCAACCCGGUAUGGCAUGUGAUUGAAAACUCCUCUCUCUCUCUCUCUCUCUCUCUCUCAUGCAACCGGUGUUUUGCAGCCAUGGUGUGGCUGGCUUCUCUUUUGCCUUAUCAUAAUACGCAUCUAAGCCUCAAUUUGCUGAAGAUCAUAGGUAGGCAUUUGGACAAUAUUUGAGUUGAAUUUGUGAAGUUCUCUUGAGUGCAGACUUGUGAGGUCUCUUUGGUUAAAAGCUCUUAUCUAAGCGAAUUCUCGUUAUUAGAUUAGCCUAGAAAUGGCGAGAAUGAGGCAACAGAGAGUAUGGGAUUUUUUUCAAAGGGUGGUUGCCCCUCUCUGCUUUUUCAAUGAUACUCCACUUUUCAAAAAACCAACAGCCCUUUAAAAAGAUAGAGAGAAAGAGAACAUACUUCAGUUUCUGGGUUUCUUUGCAUUUUUUGCACCCUUAACGUAUACUCAAACCCCAGUACCCAACUAUACUAUAACAACUACGCGACCUUCGGAUCUUCCGUCUGACUCCUUCAUGGCUUUGAAAACCCUUAAAGAGGCAGUGAUGAUGAUUUAUUUUCUAUACCUGGGCUAACUGAUUGGGGCAUGGAAAUUACCCAAACCCUAUCUUGGCGUGGCAACCCGGUAUGACAUGUGAUUGAGUCUCCUCUCUCUCACAUGCAACCGGUGUUCUGCAGCCAUGGCGUGGUUGGGUUCUCUUUUGCUUUAUCAUAACACAUCUGAGCCUCAAUUUGCUAAAGAAAAUAUACCAUUUCCAUGUAUUGAUGCAGGAGAUAUUGAACCCUCGUCCUUUUUAUUAGAAGUUAUAAUGCUUUUCACUCGUAAUGUUUUUGUCGUCCUCCAGUAAGCCCAUGAUUUAAAUAGCAGCCUUAAUGAUCCGAUUUUUGCAAAUCACCCAGCGAAUUCCUUUUGUUAGAUUAGCCCAAACUGGUGAGGAAAGGCAACAGAGAGUGUGGGAUUUCUUUCAAAGGUGGUUGCCCCUCUCUGCUUAGCCUAUGAUUCUCCAUUUUUUAACAAACCAACAGCCCUUAAAAAAGAAAGAGAGAGCACUUCAGUUUCUGGGUUCUUGCAUUUGCACCCUAAUGCAUACUCAAAACACGAACAUACAACUAUACUACAACACGACCUUUAGAUCUUCAGUCUGUCUCCUCAUGGCUUUGAGAACUCUUAGAGGCAGUGAUGAUGUUUCUCGUAUCUGAGCUAACUGAUUCGGGCAGAUUACCCCACCUGUAUCUUGGCGUGGCAACCUGGUAUGGCCUGUGAUUGAGACUCUUCUCACAUGCAACCAGUGAUCUGCAGCCCUGAGUGGAUGGGUUCUCUUUGCCUCAAUGUGCUAAAGAUAAUAGAUUCAAUGUGGGAGAUAUCGAACCCAUGCCCUUUUGAUUACAAGUUAUAAUGCAUUUUUCACUGCUUAUGUAUUCCAUUUUUAUGGUCAGUAUCAGCUCAAGAAUGAGGCAUUAGAGUGAAAUGUGGGAAUUUUGUAACGGUGGUUGACCUCCUUCUCUACCAUGGCAUGGUCUCCUUCUCUUUGCCUUAUUAGGAACUCAGAUCUGAGCCUCAUUUCCAAUUAGUCCAACUGGACAGCUCGGGAUCGAACACAAGACCUUCGUUGACUGUAACCCAUUUUGUCCUGUUCAGCAGCUCAAAGAACGAGAGAUCAGAGAGAUGGAGAUUUUCGCUUCUUUUGGCAAGAAAAUCAACACCACCCUUUUUAAGGAAACCAUUGAUUAGUUUUCAAUGGAAGGCCAUUCUCUGAACUGGGGAUUCUUCAGCUUUCUGUGUUAGACUGACGUGAUAACCAGCUAGACUACCACUUCAUUUCAGCUCAAAGAAUGAGGCUCAGGGAGGUGAUUCUCAGAGUGGAUGACCAUCUCCGACAUGCUAAUGUUUGUGCAUAUGCAUGUUUCUCGUGUAUAUGUGGCAUUGUGCAUGCAUUUCGGUUGUCUUAAUUUUGUCCUCACUGGCUGUAUUUUGAUGCAAUGCGAACAAAGUAACACAUCCAUAAAAUCCAAUAGGGGAAACAAUGGGGCUAUGAUGACAAUAUUUGUUGAGCUAAUUGAAUUCGGGCAUUGGAAUUUUGCUGGCAUUAUCUUGGCGGGGCAACUUGACUUUCUGGUUUGCAGCCAUGGCAGGUGCAGAGAACUCAAUGCCCCACAUAAUCUGAGCCUCCAUUUUAACAGAAGCCUUAGCAUCGUUUCUCUAUUACCAAUGAGGCCAACAGGGGAGAAAGGGACUUAUUUGAGGGUGGUUGCCCCCUGUUGCUCCUGGCCUGUGAUUUCUCUAUUACCAAAACCUACAGCCCUCUUCUAGUCCUCCUUUUCACCUCAGAUAAGAAAGAAAGCAGAGCAUUACCAGCAGCAACAACAGUAGUACUUGGACCUCGUUCUGAUUUAUGAGCUUAGUCCAAAGCACCCUAAAUUCUUCAAAACCUAUGUUUAUCAAAGAGGCAAUGAUGAUAUUUGCUUAUGUGGGCAAAAAAAUUUAUGCCCUGCAUUGAAACAAGCAGAUCCGUAUUUGGCUUCGCAAACCACUGAUGUUAUGUGAUUUGAGGCUGCUCUAUCACAUGCAACUGGUUCUUUUGCAGCCACGGCGUGGUCUCUUUCUCUUUGCCCAAUUAGUAACCCAACUCUGAGCCUCAAUACUUCAAUUUAUCCUUCUGGACGUUGUUUGAUGGAAACACAUUUUCAUUUUUCAUGAAAGCCAGCUCAUAAAUGAGGCAUCAAUUUUACCAGUCUCAAAAAAAUGAGGCAUCAAUGAGAAAUGGGAAUUACUUAUUUAUUUAUUUGUUCAUUUGUUUAGUUUUGCUGGUAAGGCCAAGAUUUCUUGCUGGAAGAGAUUAACAGUGGUUUGCUCUUUUCUGCAACUCUAGCUUCGGAAGAUGCACGUUGUUGAUUUUUUGCUGCUACUGCUACUGAUUCUCGUCUUGGUGCGACGUGGCUGCAUUAACACCUUAACAGCGAGAAUCAUACUAGAAAUAAAGAAAAAGGUGAAAAAUUGAGGCAGCACUUUUGGUAAAUAGCAUUGUUAAUUUGCAUUGAGAUGAUACAAGACUCAGUAUCUUGGCGGGCAAUCUGGAGAAGGUUGCAGCCAAUAAUAAUAGAGAAAUCUGAGCCUUGGUAUUAAGCAUUACUAGUAGUUUCUAUCUCUUUUUUUUUCCUUUUUUCAAGAUUGCUAAGAGAGUUGCAAUUUUCUUUUGAAAUAUUUUCCGUGUCUUUGUAAGUAUUGCUCGUUUUUUGUAAACAAAAAUUCUGUUCUAAAAGAGGCAAGAGAUGUGGAAAUACAGCGAUUAUAAAUCA